CCAGGGGCUGAUGGGAUUCUGGUGGUGUGGAAUUGGGCAGGAUUUCCUCACCAACAAGGCUGGCCUCAAGCCAUGGUGGGGAACACUGAGGCAGGGAGCCUAGAGUCCAGAGCAAUAGGGCUAGUGUUGCCGGUCACAGCUCCAGGGAGCUGACAGAAACCUCUGCUAAUGAAGCCGAUCCUGAGGAAACUUCAGGGUGAAGUGAGGACGCUGUGGAAAAUAACCGUCUGCAGCGGCAUGAGAAGGCCGGAAAAUGGCAGAGCAGCAACUCUGCUCCCUGAUGUAGAUUCCUCUCAGACGCAAGGAAGUAUCCACCUUGGACCCUCUGAACAGGAGAUACUGAUGAAAAUGAGAUUCUCAGCCAGAGAGCCCAGACCAGCCUAUUUGGGGAAGUACCUCCCCCUAAAUCAAAGUCUCUCUUGCGCCUGUGGCCAUAUGCUGCUGGAAAAUGAUUCAUAAAUGUUUGGCAUACAGAAGCCAUCUGUAUCCUAUCACCGCA